CUGGUGUAUGUAUACAAGGGUGCUUAUUUGUUUGCUUUGUUUCUAUUAAAAUUCUGUUAUAGUUUCAAGUUGAUUCGUAAUUUGUCUGGCGUCUAUAUAUGACUGGCCCUAGAGAGAUCAAAUAGCAAGUUUUAUUAUAAUUAAUCAUUAGAAAUAGAUUUCAUCUUUAUUCUGCUUAAUACAAUUUGCUUCUCGUGUAUUUAGUCACAUUUUAUAAUACGCCCGAAAAUAUUGCUAUGCACCCGGUCGUCCGUCUGUUAGCAGUGUCAUGUCCAGUCUGUGUUUUUGAACCGGCAAAAGGAAACUGAAACUAGUUGGAAGAAAUGUUAACAAUAAUGAGACAAUGUGCAGAGCUCUGGUUUGACCCUUCUCAUGUCAAGGUCACAGCCAUUUUGUCAAUUGGCCCCACCCUUGGGAUUACUUGAUUUAUAAGGACUUGCAGUGUAUAUUAGAAAACAUAUAAGUUUCAUUAUCUGUCUACAGCUUAGAUAUUAAGCAUGUAGCAUUGCCUUAUUGACCUGUACAAAACUAUUAUGAUCAUGCCCUUUGAUUUAAUAUAUAUCCCAUCCCAGGGUCACUCGAAGACUUAUAUAGGAAAAUGAUGACUGAGUCUUAACUUGUGAAACUGCAAUGCCUAGAGUUUAGAUAUUUAACAUGUACUAUGUAGCAUUGCCUUGUUGGCCUCUAUAAAAACUGAUAGUAAUCAUGACUCUUUGGUCAAUAUUGCUCUGCCAGUGGGGGUCACUUAGUUGAUAUAGAGUCUUGUAUGAGAAAACACAUUUCAGUCUUAUUUUGUGAAACUACAAUGCCUUUACAUUCGAGUGUAUAUAGCCCUGCCUUUGCGGUGCUCUUGUUAGAUUAACCAUGCUUUCUUUAAUACAAUGUUGAAGUUAAUGGAAAUAACUAUUGGUCACAUUGCUGUAUGACAUCUGUUUGAGGUCACUUUCUUCUGUAUCACUUGAGAUCUGAGGUCAGAUUUCAGCUUCUGGUUCAUAUUUUGCUUCACACAAUCUAAGGUCAUAUCUUUCUCAUAAUAUCUGAGGUCAUAAUUUCUGCAUCUCAUAAUAUCUGGCGUCAUAAUUUCUGCAUCUCAUAAUAUCUGAGGUCAUAAUUUCUGCAUCUCAUAAUAUCUGAAGUCAUAAUUUCUGCAUCUCAUAAUAUCUGAAGUCAUAAUUUCUGCAUCUCAUAAUAUCUGAGGUCAUAAUUUCUGCAUCUCAUAAUAUCUGAAGUCAUAAUUUCUGCAUCUCAUAAUAUCUGAGGUCAUAAUUUCUGCAUCUCAUAAUAUCUGAAGUCAUAAUUUCUGCAUCUCAUAAUAUCUGAAGUCUUAAUUUCUGCAUCUCAUAAUAUCUGAGGUCAUAAUUUCUGCAUCUCAUAAUAUCUGAAGUCAUAAUUUCUGCAUCUCAUAAUAUCUGAGGUCAUAAUUUCUGCAUCUCAUAAAAUCUGAGGUCUUAUUUUCUGCAUCUCAUAAUAUCUGAGGUCAUAUUUUCUGCAUCUCAUAAUAUCUGAGGUCAUAUUUUUUUUGCAUCAGACAUCUCAUAGUAACUGAGGUCAUAUUUUCUGCAUUACACCAGUCUUCAUCAUUUUUAACUUGUCUGUUUCAAAGAAAAAGUUAAACUGUUAUGAUCACUGUGUCGUCAUUGUUGUCGUACAAAAAACAUUUGUAGUUUAUUAUUCAAACAUUUUAAAUGUUAUCAACGUUAGACAAGGGGCAUAAUUCUGAAAGCUAUAUUUUUUGGAGAUAUGCCCCUUUUUAACAAAAGGGGUUAUUUAAACAGACAAGCCUUAAGGCUGCAUGUGGUUCUCUUGUUUGAACUUGGGAGUUCUAGUUCUGAGUUGAUAAAUGGAGGUCCAAUACUUAGUUCAUGUUAGUUUUGCAUGGAAUCAUUGCUUACUGAACAGAGUGGUCAUUAUUUUUCAUAAAAGAUGAUAUAAAAGUGAUACAAAUCUUUCAUUUGAUUUCAAUAAACAUUUAAUUAAGUUAAUACAUCAAGUUGAAAAAUAAAUUUAAAGUUGAAAGUUUUUAUUCUGAAUUUCUAGUUACAUAUCUGUUGAAAGCUGUAUAAAUAAUAUUAAUUAUGAACAUGCCAGUGGUAAGGACCAGUAUGUGCCACAGGUUUGAAACUAGGCCAGUCCUUGUCACCAGUACAUGGCUGAUGAUGGCCGGGUCAGUUUCUACCACCAGAAUAGGGUCAGGCCAGUUUGUGUAGCCAGUCUCACUAGUAUAGGGCAACAUUGUGCCACCAAUAAAGAACUAAGACAGUCUGUGUCACCAAUAAAAUACUAAGACAGUCUGUGUCACCAGGCGACCAGACAUUUACAUUGUUGGCCGACUUGUAAAAAAUCAUCAGUAUUUUUACGAUGAAAACACAUUAUCUGCUUUUGGCAAGACCUUUGUGUGAAUAUAUUUUGUAUUAAGGUAUAAACAUUCAAAUUAAAUAUAGCACCACUCUGUUCAGUAAACUAAGUUCAGCUUUAUUGUCUGGUUUUCAUUGUUAUGGCUUAUUGACUUUAAUUAAGGGAGUUGAUUUAGGUCGGAAAGUAAGGUCAAUGAAUUAUGUCAAAUUAUAUGUUCCUGGAGUACUGCAAUUUUUUACAUAGGCAAAAAGGAAUUCUUCAAUAGUGCACAGAAUAGAAGAUAACCUAAAAGUGAAAAAAAAGUAAAAGUAAAAAAAUCAGUCAGGGGCACAAAGCAGCAAUUACUAGGAUGAUGACCACCCAACUUUUUUUUUAUAAAUUUGUUUCAAUAAUAAUUCUCUUUAAAUCAUGCAAAAGUUAAGAAAAUUCUGUACACUAGGUUAUUUAUCCUUCCCUGCCUAUGUAAUAAAUACAGAACUACAUGUAUAUGAAAUGUCCUUUUCUUGGUAUUUCUAAUAUUUAUAACUAGCUUUAUUGAUUUAACACAGACAAAUCAUAGAUGAAAUUAGAUAAAAAAAAAAUGAAAAUAAGGUCCUUGAACCAUGAAAGAUUUUCCCUAUAAAUGUCAGCUAAGGUGAUGGGGCUUAAAGUUUUGUGAUGUAAAUGGUUCAGUUCCCUGUCAACAUUAUACAGAUACAUAAAUAUACAGAUAUAUAAAAAACUAUACAGUAAUUAAUAACUUAGUUUACAUAGAUUAUAGAGAGCAUUGAAUAAUUUAGAUUUUCAGCUGUAAUUCUGAAAUAGUGUCACAGUUACAAAAAUAAGGGAAAAGGAAUCAAAUUAAACUUGUUUAACAAAGUCAUAAAUUUUCUGAACUCUGUGCCACUUGUUUGAGGCUUAACAUCACUAUUGCCUGACUGAUAUGGCUUGUUUGUUUUGGCCACUCAAAAGUCCAAUAUAGAUUAAGAGAUUUAUCAUAAUAUGGUUAGUCUUUUACAGUCAAGUAUACAAGUAAAUUUCAAUUUUUUUUAGAAAAAAAACAACAACAAACUAUUAGCAAUGUUGAUCUUGUAUUCAGUGUACCUGUUUGGGGCCUCUGUGGCUUAUUGGUUUAGGUCACUGACUUCAAAUUACUUGACUGUUGCCACUUUGUUUGAAUCCCCACCAGAUAUUCGUUUUUAAGUUGAGGAAAUUGCCAUCAGGCGCAAAGGGGCACCUGAGGUCUUGGCCCACAAAUAGAGCAACAGAGUCGUCAUAUGACACAUCAUUGUUGGUGUUCAAACAAAAUGAAAUAUUAAAUAAAUAAAAUGCUUGUGAAAUGUGACCAGUCAAAAAUGAUACAUGGAAUUAAUUAAUUAACUACUUUAGUAAACACUGACAAGCAGCAUGCAAAUGUGAAGUUAAUUGAAAUUUUCACUGUCUACCACCAUGAUGGAUAUUGAUAUUGUCAUGCAAGCACAGCAUUUUGUUGAUUUAUUGCACCUUAUACAAAAAUUCAUGAUGUCUUUAAUAUUCCUAUAAGUUAUUCAAAUAAAUGUUACAUUAUCCAUUUGUAAUAAAUAUUGAUAAUUUCUUUGGUCUUCCUUCACCAGUAAAGCUGGUAAGUCGCCGUAUGGCCUAUAUUGCGUUGAUGUGACAUAAAAUCCAACCACCUCAUAUGGCCUAUACUGUGUUGGUGUGACAUAAAACCUAUGGUCGGCAUCAGGAUCACAUGCAUCAUCUAUCUAUGGGAAGGUUUACACAAGCCCUGUGUAAAAAAACAAACAUGAAAUGCAGUAGUUGGACACAUAUUCUAAUAACAUAAGAAUUGACCCUCAAAUAUUUUCUAGCUGGUUUUUUUUUUUAUAAAAGAGUAUGGUUACAGUAACUAUUUCAGAUGUCAUUUUAACCAAACUUAUAUUUUAAUUGAUAAUGUAAUUUUCAAACUUUCUUCAUAAAUAUUUGUUAUUUUCAAUAUUUUAAACAUUUUUCAUUAAUAUAUGACUGUGUUGUUAAACUAUUUAAUCUCUUACCAUCUGAAACUACAUCCUGAACAGGAUGUAAUAUUUACAUUUUGAAAACAAUAUUUAGUUUCUUAAUCAUAUUAAGGCUUACAAUUGUACAAUGGUUGUAGCUUAAGUCUGACAUACAGCAUGAGUGGGCCUAUUGGUUAUGUUGUCUGGCUCCCAAUCCCAAAAAUCAUGGCUUCAAGUUGUCCAGAGAUCACUACAUUGAUCGUUUGAUCACUUUCAAGACGAAGGAGAAAAGAACUACUUUCACAAUCAAUCUUAAAUAAGGAUUUGUUAAACAUUUGAGAGAUAGAUUAACAAGGGGUCAAGUCUGUAUAAGGUUGUAUAAGGUGUAAAUUAGGCUAAAGGAGAAUAUAUAUGUAUGGUUUCAUGUUAUCCUAAUUAGGCUAAUUAGACUCAUAUAAAGAGAGACUCAUUAAUAAAAUUUACUAAGCAUUGUUUAUGUUUAUUGAAAUCAUAUAAAAGAAUACCUUUAACAAGUGAAUACAAUGAAAAGAGAUAAAAGAGUUAUUUCAGCACAUUAAAGUCAUUAUUUUCACACAUUGAUCAUUAUCAUGGAGUGUUGAUACAGGCUUAGAACAUGGAAAUGAAGUGUUCAGUAAACAAAAGAAUGCAGCACGGGUAAAUUGAUUUAUAGACAAAUCUUGCAUCAAAGCUUUUCUAACUUAUUUAUUUUAUGUGAGACAGUAUUACACUGAUAUAUAUAUUUGAUACAAUGUACAAAUUAAAUACAAGUUUAUUUAUUUAAAUGUAUGUUGAACUUGGAAAGGGGACAACAUAAAUAGAAUAUUUCAAAAUAUUUUGGCAAUUCAUUUCAUUUGCUUAUGUAUUGUGUGAAAAAAAUAACAAAACAAUAUUUUAUGACACAUUAUUUGUGAUUCACAGUGUUUAUUUACAUUAUGUUUUAAAUAUGAUAAUAUUGUUGUGGUCAAGUACUAGAUUGAACUAGUCAUUAUUAUAUUUAAACCCUUAACCUGCUGAAACCAAGAGUGAUUAGCCUUUGUCUCCAUUUUUGAUCCAGGCCAGCCUGUCCAGGUUCUUUACUAGCUCAGUGUAUAUUGAUAAUGAAAUCCCCAUAACUUUGAAUGGACUGUUCCAAAUUUAAAGCUGGGCAAAUCCAUUACACAAAUUCAGCAGAUUAAGGGUUAAUGAAAUGUUACUAUAAUUUAUAACAGCAUGUUUUUUUUUAGCUCUUAUCCUUCAGCAUAUUACAAAACUUUUAUUAACUUUUUCUUUUUAAAUUAAAUGCCAAUGGAUUGUAUGAUUAUGCAUAUUAUAUGUAUAUAGGAGAUUGGAGGUUCUACUUUAUGUGUCUGAAAUUUUGCACAGAGGGACACUUGAGAUCCCCCUCUACCAG